CGACCGGCGCACGGGUGCGUAACGCGUAUACAAUCUACCUUUUACAGAGGGAUAGCCCAGAGAAAUUUGGAUUAAUACCUCAUAGUAUUAUUAAUUGGCAUCAAUUUAUAAUUAAAGCUUCGGUGGUAUAAGAUGAGUAUGCGUUCUAUUAGCUAGUUGGUACGGUAACGGCGUACCAAGGCAACGAUAGAUAGGGGUCCUGAGAGGGAGAUCCCCCACACUGGUACUGAGACACGGACCAG
rnacentral:rRNA from 1 species